GACGGUACCACUACGAGAAAGACUACCGGCUAACUUCGUGCCAGCAGCCGCGGUAAUACGAGGGGAGCAAGCGUUAUUCGGAAUUACUGGGCGUAAAGGGCGUGUAGGCGGCAACUUAAGUCGUGUGUUAAAGACCGGUGCAUACCACCGGAGCGGCAUGCGAAACUGGGUUGCUAGAGUGUAAGAGAGAGGAGUGGAAUUCUUGGAGUAGCGGUAGAAUGCGUAGAUCUCAAGAGGAACACCGAUGGCGAAGGCAGCUCCUUGGCUUACAACUGACGCUGAGACGCGAAAGCGUGGGGAGCAAACAGGAUUAGAUACCCUGGUAG
rnacentral:rRNA from 1 species